rnacentral:rRNA from 1 species
GACGAACGCUGGCGGCGUGCUUAACACAUGCAAGUCGAACGAUGAAGCUGGAGCUUGCUCCGGUGGAUUAGUGGCGAACGGGUGAGUAACACGUGAGCAAUCUGCCCUUGACUCUGGGAUAACUGCGGGAAACUGUAGCUAAUACCGGAUACGACACCUUGGGGCAUCCCAGGGUGUGGAAAGAAUUUCGGUCAAGGAUGAGCUCGCGGCCUAUCAGCUAGUUGGUGGGGUAAUGGCUCACUAAGGCGACGACGGGUAGCCGGCCUGAGAGGGUGACCGGCCACACUGGAACUGAGACACGGUCCAGACUCCUACGGGAGGCAGCAGUGGGGAAUAUUGCACAAUGGGCGAAAGCCUGAUGCAGCAACGCCGCGUGAGGGAUGAAGGCCUUCGGGUUGUAAACCUCUUUUAGCAGGGAAGAAGCGAAAGUGACGGUACCUGCAGAAAAAGCACCGGCUAACUACGUGCCAGCCGCCGCCGUAA